rnacentral:rRNA from 1 species
UACGUAGGGUGCAAGCGUUGGCCGGAAUUAUUGGGCGUAAAGAGCUUGUAGGCGGUUUGUCGCGUCUGCUGUGAAAUUUCGGGGCUCAACCCCGAACUUGCAGUGGGUACGGGCAGACUAGAGUGUGGUAGGGGAGACUGGAAUUCCUGGUGUAGCGGUGGAAUGCGCAGAUAUCAGGAGGAACACCGGUGGCGAAGGCGGGUCUCUGGGCCGACAUUGACGCUGAGGAGCGAAAGCGUGGGGAGCGAACAGG